GCACUGCUGAGGAGUCCCAUAAUAGGACGAAACGGUAGUCCAGUGC
rfam:Schistosoma rodhaini strain Burundi genome assembly, scaffold: SROB_scaffold0004997